CGAUCUCGGUUUAUAUGGUCUCUGGCAGCCCGCCGGCAGGGGGAGCUAGUGCCCAGGGCCCCAGGCCAGAGAGCCUUAGUGUGACCGGAAAUGUCAACUGUUUCCUUUCACCCCCCUCCCCCCCCAACGCCAGGCAGAGGCGCGGUAAUAACCUCUGGGGCAUAACUUCUGAGAGCCCACGGUGCCCUUCUUUCUCAGGGAAGCUGGUAAUCUGAGCCUCAGAAGUGAAUAAUGAAUAUCCAAAGUCCUACAGCAAGUUAGGGGCACAGAUGGAGCGGAACACAGUCUGUGGGAAGAAAACACCAAGAGUGUCUUGCUCUGGCACCCAAGAUGGAAAUGAGCGUGGGUGUAGCAGACAAUUUUCAUUUCUUGGCUUGUGAACUUGAGAAUACCAUUCCUAUCUGGAGGGAAUUCCCCUCCACAUGAGUCCUGGUAGUUAGAGACUCAGACCAUCUUUUAUAACAAAGCUGGAAAGAAAGCUGCCUGCUGUCUUGCUUCCCCUGUAGCACAACUUCAUGUGCACAUUUCCUGGGUUCAGAUAAGCAGAUGCACAAACUCUGGACUGGGCUUGAAAGCUCCUGAUAAUAAGAAGAGAGAGAUUAUUCCAGGGCAGCUACAGAAAUGGCAGCUGUAUUGGUCUUCUCAGAAGAGGAACGGAAAUGCUGGCUCAGGCAUUGCACAGGGUCUGCUUUGGGCAUAUUGGCUGAAGGAUGAAUGGCAGCCACACCCGCAGUGAUAACACUGAUGAGCUCCACAGAGGCCAGUAUUGGACUGCUGUUCUGCGUUCACAGCCUCCCUUGUUUUUGCCUUUUCUCCUGACUUGGGUAUCCAGGUUCCCUAGUGAUUUUGUGAACUCUCCAGAUCCUUUUCGGUUUAAAAGAUGGCUUCUUUGUAAUAAAAAAAUAAUGGA